ensembl:lncRNA
CUCCGGGGCCCCUCCCCGCCCCUGCCCCGCCGCCCCGCCCCGCCGCGCCGGCGUUCUGAGUAUCUUCCUUCAAAAGAGUUCCCAUUGGCUCCACCCCGGGAAUCAGGCGCGGUCGUUGCUGAGGACGCUAUUUCCCGGUAGAGUUUUCACUGACCUCUCCUCCCAGUCUUCAAUCCGGAAACAAAGUCGGGAAAAGCCCAGCAGCAUUCGCAUCCCCGCCGCUUCUGACACAGCCGCAGGGCUCCUGCCGUCCUGGCCUUUGGUCUUCCAGGGUUUUCCGAUUUAGGAUUCUCUCCAAAGGAAGCUGAAGCUGGCCUCCGCGAGCUCAUUCGUGUGCAACCUGGUGAGGAUCCCGCGCACUGCCCAAGGCCCAAGGACGCAAGGCUGCUGCACUUGGUCACCAUCUUCCAGUAUAAAUGGUCCUAGUCUUCCGAAAGGACCCUUUAAGAGUUUGAGAAAAAAAACACUCAUCGUGAUUUGGGGAAUUAACGCCGGGGUUAACUGCAUCACUGACAACGAAACUGAAUUCAAGCUGCUUUUUUUUUAAAACAUACCUUUUUUUUUUUUAAAGACAAGUUCUUUGAUAGCUCAGUUGGUAAUGAAUCUGCCUGCAAUGCAGGAGACCCUGGUUUGAUUUCUGGGUCAGGAAGAUCUGCUGGAGAAGGGAUAGACUACCCACUCCAGUGUGUUUGGACAGCUGGUAAAGAAUCCACCUGCAAUGUGGAAGACCUGGGUUCGAUCCUCGGGUUGGGAAGAUACCCUGGAGAAGGGAAAGGCUACCCACUCCAGUUUCUGGCCUGGAGAAUUUCAUAGACUGUAUAGUCCAUGGGGUCGCAAAGAGUCAGACAGGACUGAGUGACUUUCACUUUCUUUUCACUUUCAUACAUUUCAAAAGAAAAUACAUGCCUGAAUAUUUACAGUGUGCAUGAGACACACACAACAUACACACCUUCAUGCUCAGCCUGAAUCAGAUACCGUUUGCUGACCUUGGCAACUUCUUGUCAGCCUUCCGUUCCUAAUGACCCAAAGAGCAGGGAGCUGGAAAGAGUUUCAGCACCGUAGCAUCAGUUUCUUUCAAUCUGAAUGUGCUGAUUUAUUAAGCAAAAUUUCACCAUGCUCUGCCUUCUGCAGAUGCAAAAAGAUCUUCCUUUCCUCUGUUCCCAUCUUCCUUUCCUGGACUUUCCUUUUUCUCUUCUUUUCUGUUCUUUCUCCACCCCUGAAUUGGCCACUGAUUCAAAGAUCCCUUGACUUAAAAAUUCCAGGCAUGAUUCCUAUGGCAGAAAUGAGAUUUUGUUCUCCUCACCAGCCCUCUGGUUCUUCAGGUAACAUCUUCAGCCAACACAUCAAAGAAACUUCGCUUUAUUAUACUUACUUCCCAAAGAAUAGAAAUGCACUGUGAUUCAGAAAAUAUUUCUGAGCCCUGACCCCAUCCCAAAAACAUUUCCAUCCUUCCUCCAAGUCUCCAUUGAAGGAACAUACCUAUCAGACAUAAAAGACAGUUGUCUUAUGAUUUCAGCAUUUUAUUGCCUGUAUGAAAUAUGUAAGUGUUUUUAUAUAUUCUCCUAUUAUUUUCACCUUAUAUUUUGUAUUGUUGAAACUCCUUUUUUUUUCCUUCCAAGGAAUUCUCUUGUAAAAUCACUUAUAAGAUAUGAUUAAUCUUUAUGCUAUUACUGUAUGUGACUUUUGGUAAUAAAUAAUAAACCAUGGACAAUAUGACUGGUGCAGUCCAGAAUGUGUAUUAAUAAUCUUAUAAAACAGUAUCACAGACAUUAAGCUAAACUGUUCCAUUUUCUGUAGGAACUAUAUAUGCUUUGGAAUGGUUGUAGAUAUUGGUUUGCCUAAAAUAUUUAAUUUAAAUAAACAUUUUUGUACCACGACCAUUCUGUCAUUUGAAAUACAGUUUGGUGAAGGAAAAAGUUUCCAAGUGAGGCGUAGAUAUUAUGCCAGUUCUCCUUCCAGUGUUGGUCAAAAUGUUCUCUCCAUCAUCUUUUUCAUUUUAAAAAACUUGUCUUGUUGGAGUGGUUGAUUGGUUGAUGUUAUGAAUUACGGUAGAGAUAAACCCUAAUUUUACACCUUAGAAACAGUGUCAUUCUUCUUGAUAUUGAAAGAAAAGACAAAUUCACAGCCUAGUUGCAAAACAAUUUUCUCCUCAGAAAGGAUGACUUCACACUUGUAAGGUGGAAUGCAGUGGUUGUCAGACUGUCUCAAGAUGGAAAGUGGGG